GGGACUUCAUACCAAUCUAACCAUUCAACAGGAAAGAAAUUAUGAAUAAGAAAAGCUAGUAGAAGAUCUAUGAAAGUUUUGUGGCUUAACAAGAACAAGGAGGUUUAGUCACUGAUACAGCCUUGCAUUCAUACAUUUAGUUAAGUAUCAACUUCCAAAUGAUAAAAUAGAGCAGAAAAGUUUGAAAGAAAUGUCGAAAGUUGGUGUCUGAUACAGCCUUUCGAAUAACUCAUUAUUCAAAUAGUGAUGUAAUUUUGAUAAGAGAAUGAAGAAGGUGGCUGUUGUAUCUUGAUCCACAAAGAAGCAUCAGGUCCAUAUCUUGAUCCACUGGUCAUGGCUCACUGAAGCUAUGGUUCCACCCAAAGGUGAACCUGCUAGUGAAGUA
rnacentral:misc_RNA from 1 species